rnacentral:sRNA from 1 species
CGUCCUCGAUCUGCUGCGGACAGAUAAAGUGGAUAUGGCUGUCAAAACCGCCUGCGGUCAGGAUGCGGCCCUCGCCAGCGAUCGCCUCUGUGCCGGGGCCUACAAUGAUGUUCACGCCCGGUUGCGUGUCGGGGUUGCCCGCCUUGCCAAUUUUGUGAAUGCGGCCGUCUUUUAAGCCCACGUCAGCUUUGUAGAUGCCCGUAUGGUCGACGAUCAAAGCAUUGGUGAUAACAGUAUCAACAGCGCCAUCGGCGCGGGUGGUCUGGGCUUGGCCCAUUCCGUCACG